CUAUAAUGCAGUCGAGCGAAUGGAUUAAGAGCUUGCUCUUAUGAAGUUAGCGGCGGACGGGUGAGUAACACGUGGGUAACCUGCCCAUAAGACUGGGAUAACUCCGGGAAACCGGGGCUAAUACCGGAUAACAUUUUGAACUGCAUGGUUCGAAAUUGAAAGGCGGCUUCGGCUGUCACUUAUGGAUGGACCCGCGUCGCAUUAGCUAGUUGGUGAGGUAACGGCUCACCAAGGCAACGAUGCGUAGCCGACCUGAGAGGGUGAUCGGCCACACUGGGACUGAGACACGGCCCAGACUCCUACGGGAGGCAGCAGUAGGGAAUCUUCCGCAAUGGACGAAAGUCUGACGGAGCAACGCCGCGUGAGUGAUGAAGGCUUUCGGGUCGUAAAACUCUGUUGUUAGGGAAGAACAAGUGCUAGUUGAAUAAGCUGGCACCUUGACGGUACCUAACCAGAAAGCCACGGCUAACUACGUGCCAGCAGCCGCGGUAAUACGUAGGUGGCAAGCGUUAUCCGGAAUUAUUGGGCGUAAAGCGCGCGCAGGUGGUUUCUUAAGUCUGAUGUGAAAGCCCACGGCUCAACCGUGGAGGGUCAUUGGAAACUGGGAGACUUGAGUGCAGAAGAGGAAAGUGGAAUUCCAUGUGUAGCGGUGAAAUGCGUAGAGAUAUGGAGGAACACCAGUGGCGAAGGCGACUUUCUGGUCUGUAACUGACACUGAGGCGCGAAAGCGUGGGGAGCAAACAGGAUUAGAU
rnacentral:rRNA from 1 species